CUCAAACAUCUCAUGCUGAUCUUUUGCACUGCAGCAGUGCCCUCAGACGACCUGCACUCUCUUUUCAACUUAAAACAACUUUUAUAUCCUUGGAAGGAUGGAGAAGAAUGGAGGAAAACCACGUCAGCAGCAUUAUGGGCUGGUUUCGUCAGCACUUUGGAAAACAAAGGAAUGAUUCGGACCAAGUUAAACCAUGUAAAUGUUCUCAGACGUGCUCCCCCGGACACUCCAACACCAGCAGCUCGGUGUGCUCCUCUUCCUCCUCCUCUUCCUCCCUGAAAUCCUCCAUAUCAGCCAAGCCAUCGGCCUC